rnacentral:rRNA from 1 species
UACGUAGGGUGCAAGCGUUGUCCGGAAUUAUUGGGCGUAAAGAGCUCGUAGGCGGUCUGUUGCGUCGGCUGUGAAAACCCGGGGCUCAACUCCGGGCCUGCAGCCGAUACGGGCAGACUAGAGUUCGGCAGGGGAGACUGGAAUUCCUGGUGUAGCGGUGAAAUGCGCAGAUAUCAGGAAGAACACCCGUGGCUAAGGCGGCUCUCUAGUACGGUACUGACGCUGAGACGCGAAAGCGUGGGGAGCGAACAGG